UUUAGAAAAAAAAUAAAACCAACUCUCUCAAAUUUUCUCCCCUUUCCAAACUACAGCCUUGGGUUCCGAUGAUCAGGCACCGUGAAGGGUCGUUGGUCGCAACGAUGGCGCCGCCGUCCACGGUGGUCCAAAAAUCGAAAGAAGGCCAAUUUUUUUUGCUUUUCGACUCCUCGAGCCUAAAAACGUCAUUUUUCAUCGAAAAUGACGAAUCUCGCCUACCACGGCAGUGCAAACGCACAAAAUGGGGUACUGUUUCGGUGGAGUGGCAUGUUGGCACGCGGUGAUGGCAGAGGAGGGUACGGAGGCACUGACGUGGCUAGGUACUGACAUGGCGGCACAGGGGAGCAUCGGCGGCGAGCAUGGGGUGUUAGCGUUUGGUUCUUUUUCUGAAAAUGUUAAGAUAGGGGGCCAUUUGGGCCGUCUAGGGUUUUUAGGUUUUGGGUUAGUAAUUUGUUUGUAAAUUGGGCUAGUGUGUUAAAGUUAAUUCUGAUUUGGGCUUGUAAUUGGGUAGUGGGCUUAUUAUUUGUUUUGUAAUGGACUGUUAAAAUAUUUUAGACUUUUA